rnacentral:rRNA from 1 species
AAACAUAAUAGUUACAACUUUCAACAACGGAUCUCUUGGUUCUGGCAUCGAUGAAGAACGCAGCGAAAUGCGAUAAGUAGUGUGAAUUGCAGAAUUCAGUGAAUCAUCGAAUCUUUGAACGCACAUUGCGCCCCUUGGUAUUCCAUGGGGCAUGCCUGUUCGAGCGUCAUUUGUACCUUCAAGCUCUGCUUGGUGUUGGGUGUUUGUCUCGCCUCUGCGUGUAGACUCGCCUUAAAACAAUUGGCAGCCGGCGUAUUGAUUUCGGAGCGCAGUACAUCUCGCGCUUUGCACUCAUAACGACGACGUCCAAAAGUACAUUUUUACACUCUUGACCUCGGAUCAGGUAGGGAUACCCGCUGAACUUAAGCAUAUCAAUAAGCGGAGGAAAAGAAACCAACAGGGAUUGCCCUAGUAACGGCGAGUGAAGCGGCAACAGCUCAAAUUUGAAAUCUGGCGUCUUUGGCGUCCGAGUUGUAAUUUGCAGAGGGCGCUUUGGCAUUGGCAGCGGUCCAAGUUCCUUGGAACAGGACGUCACAGAGGGUGAGAAUCCCGUACGUGGUCGCUAGCCUUUACCGUGUAAAGCCCCUUCGACGAGUCGAGUUGUUUGGGAAUGCAGCUCUAAAUGGGAGGUAAAUUUCUUCUAAAGCUAAAUACUGGCCAGAGACCGAUAGCGCACAAGUAGAGUGAUCGAAAGAUGAAAAGCACUUUGGAAAGAGAGUUAAAAAGCACGUGAAAUUGUUGAAAGGGAAGCGCUUGCAGCCAGACUUGCCUGUAGUUGCUCAUCCGGGUUUUUACCCGGUGCACUCUUCUACGGGCAGGCCAGCAUCAGUUUGGGCGGUUGGAUAAAGGUCUCUGUCACGUACCUCCUCUCGGGGAGAUCUUAUAGGGGAGACGACAUGCAACCAGCCUGGACUGAGGUCCGCGCAUCUGCUAGG